rnacentral:lncRNA from 1 species
GUUUCACCAUGUUGGCCAGGCUGGUCUUGAACUCCUGACCUCAAGCGAUUGGCCUGCCUCGGCCUCCCAAAGUGCUGGGAUUACAGGCGUGAGUGACUGUGCCCUAGACUUUUUUUCCGUUGAUUUUGUGAGCUACCUCAGAGCCAAUACCUGCCUCUUCCUUCUGCUCAAGUUGGAUUUGGUUGUUUCCAACCAAGAAUCCUGACAACACAGCGUAGAGAUAAGCAGUCAUCCUGGUCAACCUCGCUGACUCCCAAGCCAAUCCCAACUUCAAGAGGUGCAGCAGGUGGCUUCCCUCAUAGUGGCAAAAGGGCUGCAGGAGCUCUGGGACUCACGUGCAUCCUCCAUCAUGAACAAGAGGAGAAGGGAACCACCCAGGAAGGUCGCUCCUAAAACCCUGACUCACAGACACUGAACUAACACAUGUUUAUGGUUGUCUUAAAGCAGUCGGUUUUGAGGUCACCUGUUCUUCACAAGACGUAAUGAAUGCAGCAGUUCAGGCUUUCCUGCAGUCGACUGAGUUCUCUGGUAACUGUGAGCAGGACUGAUGCGUGCCACCUGCAGGCCCACCCAUACGAACUUCCCACCCGAACCUCUGCAGCCUCCAUGCCCGGUCCUCUUGGCCUCAGGUCCCCUAGGCCAGCCAUGGGGGCCACAAGCUGAAGACGGCAGAGGUACAAGAGGAAGAAGUCUGGGGCCCUCAAUCAUGGCUGGGGGAUUGCUGCCCAGGAAUACCACCUGACCAGAGACACCACAUGAAUGAUUCCAUGAGCAGGAAAUAAAUCUUCAUGUUUAAGCCACUGAGAUUUGGGGAUUUAUCCAUUACAGUACCUAAAGUCACCUUAAACUAAUACUCUUUCUUUUUUUUUUUUUUUUUUUUUUGAGUCGGCGUCUUGCUCUGUGGCCCAGGCUGGAGUGCAGUGUCGAGAUCCCGGUUCACUGCAACCUCCGCCUCCCGGGUUCAAGUGAUUCUCCUGCCUCAGCUUCCUGAGUAACUGGGAUUACAGUCAUACGCUACCACACCUGGCUCAUUUUUGUAUUUUUAGGAGGGACAGGGUUUCACCAUGUUGGUCAAGCUGGUCUCGAACUCCUGACCUCGUGAUCCUCCCACCUCGGCCUCCCAAAGUGCUGGGAUUAUAGGCAUGAGCCACUGCGCCCGGCCUAAUACUCUUUCAUACAGAAUUUUUUUUCCCCCAGGCUGGAUUGUAAUGGCGUGAUCUCGGUCACUGCAACCUCCACCUCCCCGGUUCAAGCGAU